rnacentral:tRNA from 1 species
GCCGCGAUGGCACAACCCGGUACUGCGCCAGCCUUGAGAGCUGGUUUCCUUCGGGAUAUCCCGGUUCAAAUCCGGGUCGCGGCG